UACGGAGGGUGCAAGCGUUGUCCGGAAUCACUGGGCGUAAAGGGCGCGUAGGCGGCUCAUGAAGGCUGUGGUGAAAGUCCGGGGCUCAACCUCGGAUCGGCCGUGGCGACUCGUGGGCUGGAGCACUGUAGAGGCGGGUGGAAUUCCGGGUGUAGCGGUGGAAUGCGUAGAUAUCGAGAGGAACACCAGUGGCGAAGGCGAGUCCCUGGACAACACCUGACACUGAGGCACGAAAGCUAGGGGAGCAAACAGG
rnacentral:rRNA from 1 species